rnacentral:rRNA from 1 species
GAUGAACGCUGGCGGCGUGCCUAAUACAUGCAAGUCGAGCGAACAGAUAAGGAGCUUGCUCCUUUGACGUUAGCGGCGGACGGGUGAGUAACACGUGGGUAACCUACCUAUAAGACUGGGAUAACUUCGGGAAACCGGAGCUAAUACCGGAUAACAUUUGGAACCGCAUGGUUCUAAAGUGAAAGAUGGUUUUGCUAUCACUUAUAGAUGGACCCGCGCCGUAUUAGCUAGUUGGUAAGGUAACGGCUUACCAAGGCGACGAUACGUAGCCGACCUGAGAGGGUGAUCGGCCACACUGGAACUGAGACACGGUCCAGACUCCUACGGGAGGCAGCAGUAGGGAAUCUUCCGCAAUAGGCGAAAGCCUGACGGAGCAACGCCGCGUGAGUGAUGAAGGGUUUCGGCUCGUAAAACUCUGUUAUUAGGGAAGAACAAAUGUGUAAGUAACUGUGCACGUCUUGACGUUACCUAAUCAGAAAGCCACGGCUAACUACGUG